rnacentral:rRNA from 1 species
UUAUGGUAAAGACAGUUAACUGUUGUAAUAAGUUUAUUUAAUGUUUAUAUAGAGGUAGAAUUUGUAUAUACACAAAAAAUUUAUUUAUAACUUUAGUGUUGAAGCUGUGAUAGCCUUGAGGGAAACUGGGAUUAGAUACCCCACUAUUCUUGGAUAUAAAGAAAUAAAAAUUUACCAGAGUACUAUGAACUAAAAAGUUUAAAACUCAAAGGGCUUGGCGGUGUUUUAGACCUCUUAGGGGAACCUGUCUCAUAAUCGACAAUCCACGUUAUACCUAACCCUAUUUUGCAUUCAGUUUGUAUACCGUCGUCGUCAGGUAACUUUUAAAAAAUUAGAAGUUAGCAAAAAAGCUUAAUAAACUUACACGUCAGAUCAAGGUGCAGCUUAUAUUAGGGUGAGGAUGGGUUACAAUUAUAAAAUUAUAAUUACGAUAUAAUUAUUAGAAUAAAUAAUUAUAAGGAGGACUUAAAAGUAAAUUGAAUUAUAUAAACAUUUUGAAUAAGGCUCUGAAACGUGU